AUAUUCAACACUCCCUUCUCUCUCAUCUCUCUCCUCACACACACACACACACACACACACCAAAUUCUUAAAAACUUGAUCUUUAGGCUCUCUCCCUUCCCAUGACUCCAGCUGCAGAUCAAGACUGAAACCACUGUUUCCAUCAGAGGUUAAUUAAUCCCACAAAUCUCAUCGCACCCCAUUUAAUUACCCUCAAUGAUGGGGACUAUGGAGUUUUAAUCAAACUAGCAUACGUAUGCAGUACUCUAGUUUUCACUUGGGGAGGUGCUUUUGCUAAUCUGCUUCUGGACCUUAUGGUCUUGCCUUUCUGAGGGAUUUUUUCUUCUCAUUUCCCCAUAAAAACUUGCCAAGCAAAAAAAAAAGCACUUUGGGCAUUGAGCUUUUGUUUUGGGGCUUUUGCUGUCAGAGUCUGCUCUCUGUUAGAACAUGUGGGGUUCCAUGCUUUUGCCUUCUCCAAGGACAUAAAGAUGGAAUCUGGGAGUAGGUUUUACUCAGCUGAUGAGUUCAGAUUGGAUGCCAAAUGGCUGAUUGAUCCCAAGCAUCUGUUUGUUGGGCCAAGAAUUGGUGAGGGAGCUCAUGCCAAAGUCUAUGAGGGCAAAUACAAAAACCAGACUGUUGCAAUCAAAGUUGUUCAUAGAGGAGAAACUCCAGAGGAGAUUAUCAAGAAAGAAGGACGGUUUGCCAGAGAGGUUGCCAUGUUGUCGAGAGUUCAACAUAAAAAUUUAGUGAAGUUUAUUGGUGCCUGCAAGGAGCCAGUGAUGGUGAUAGUUACUGAGCUUUUGUUGGGAGGUACAUUGCGCAAAUAUUGUCUAAACAUGCGGCCGAGGUGCUUGGACAUACGCGUUGCUGUUGGUUUCGCAUUGGAUAUUGCUCGUGCGAUGGAGUGCUUGCACUCUCAUGGGAUCAUACACCGUGAUUUGAAGCCUGAGAACUUGCUCUUGACUGCAGACCACAAAACAGUUAAAUUAGCGGAUUUUGGGUUGGCAAGAGAAGAGUCAUUAACAGAGAUGAUGACUGCAGAAACGGGGACAUACCGUUGGAUGGCUCCGGAGUUGUACAGUACUGUUACAUUAAGGCAAGGAGAGGGAAAGCAUUACAACCACAAAGUGGACGCAUAUAGCUUCGCAAUUGUUUUGUGGGAACUCUUACACAACAAAUUGCCUUUCGAAGGCAUGUCAAAUCUCCAGGCAGCAUAUGCAGCUGCAUUUAAAAAUGUGAGGCCUAGUUCUGAGAACAUCCCUGAGGAGUUGAACAUCAUCCUAACUUCAUGCUGGCAGGAGGACCCGAAUGCUCGGCCUAAUUUCAGCCAAAUAAUUCAAAUGCUACUCGAUUUUCUUUACACCAUAUCUCCUCCCGAACCUGCCAUUCCAUCACGGAUGUUCACUGAGAACACCGUCUUGCCACCAGAGUCUCCUGGUACAAGCGCCUUGAUGGCAGCACGCGAAGGCUCAGGGGAGACGCCCAAAUUAGGAGAUAUGGAAGACAAGCCAAAAGGUUUUUUCUUCUGCUUUAACCAGUGUUAUUGAGUAGCUGAAGAGAAGAUCCACAACCUCCGUCUUUCGGGUCAAUAACGUUCGGAGGAUCUUAACCCCGAUUUGAUAUUCUUCAACGUCUGGUAGCUAAUACUUUCCGAGUACGGUUUCCUUGUGAUGCUUGCUGGAAAGGAAAUCGAACUUUAAUUCUUCAUCGAAAGCAGCUUCCAUUUGCUCGGAAAUUCGAAGCUGUAACUUCACAAAAACGAUGACAAACCUUGCAUUAAUGCUGACUGUAUACGUGUAACUGUUAAUUUUUCGUAGAUUCUUCUGCGUGCACAUAGUGAUUUGGAAGCGGUUUGACCA